UAAGUCCUUUGAAAUAACUCACUAAAAAUAACGCUUGAAAAGCUACUUUUAGUUCACAGCAAAAAGCUGAAUGCAUGCUUAUCAGAUCAUCCCAACAUCUGAUCUGCCAUAUGUUUCGCUUUCCCUCUUUUCAAGGACCAUAGUCCUGUCUGAGAUCAAGAAGAAAAAGGCAGAGGAUCUGAAAAUCCAUCAGCUCAGAGGUUCCUGAUAAAGUUUUCCCUUUUUCAGUUUGGUGAUGGGACAUCCUCUGCUUUUUAAGAGGAAUGAAAAAGAACCUCCACAUCUACUUCCCAAAGAAAAUAAGGGAAAAAAAACCAUCGUUGCUUUAAUUUCCCUUCCUUGGUCCAUUAUGAGAAGUAAAUAAGAUCUAUAGCUGCAGUCAAGGAAAUUGGUAAAACCUGUGGCAUAAAUGAGUGGGGAAAUAUGAGUCAUAGAGACGUAAUGAGAGGCAGUAGCAAGAAAUAGGUGAGGUUAAUGGCCAGAGAUUUCCUUUAACAGCUGGAGGAGCUCCUACUACCACAGACAGAGCUAUAGUCUAGAACACCACAGUCCACUGGCCCUGACUUUAUUUAGUCACAUUGUCACCAUCGUUAUUAGUUUAAUACUGCUUUAUUUAACUUUGCUGCAUCGUAUAUUUUUAUUUUCUUCAGAUGUCCUGCUUUGCUUAAAUGCUUCAGAAUUAAACUAAUAUUUCAAAUAUUAAGAAGAAAAAAUCCUUAUGUUGCAUAUCAAGAGCUUGGUUCAAAAGCACAACUCCUUCAGCUCCACCUGCUGUCUUAAUUCCAAUCUGUGUACCAGUGUACAGAUUUCCAGUCUCAUGGCUUGCUUCUUCUUGGAAAAUCAUAUAUUAAGAACUAUUACCAUCUCAGUUUCCAGGAUUACACAGUCUUGCUGCUUUCAACUGCUAGGUUUUGUACAUGCACCAUUUCUAUAAUAACAGAGGUUGCCCAAACAUGCUGAACUUGUCUGCAUGAGCAGCUUUCCAUUCAAUUGGAUAACUAUGGAAGUGAAACGAUAAAAAGCAGUAUAAGCUUUCCAUCCAUUUAUUCCUUCUCUUUCAGAGUAACAGAAGAGCCCAGAAAAUUAUAGUAUACAAUUUUCCUUUUAUAGAAUGACUCCUAUAAUAGAGGCCCGCCUAUUCAUUGAUUUGGAG
rnacentral:lncRNA from 1 species